rnacentral:lncRNA from 1 species
AUCGCUUCCUUUUGUUUUCAAUGCCCCAUCUGAACAAAUUCAUUUGGGUUCACGUGAAUAUGAAACUAACAUCUGAGGGCUCUGGAGACUAAGAUGUGAACAUCAUUGGAGUAUUCUGCCUACUACAGAGGUUAUGAAUUUAACAGAGUAUAAAGAAGGGAAAGAAUAUUCCAAGCAUGUGUUGUUCCAUGAACAACAUACAUAGAGACCCAGGGAAUGACAAGACCAAGGCAAUUAAAAAUAUGUACAGAGGCCAGUAUUCCCUGAGGUUUGAGAAAAAAGAUAAGGAUGGUGAUUUGGAGAUGGGGUCUCCAGAAGAAAUAAAUGUACAAACAAAUUAAAUGAGGUCAUAAUUUUGGCAGAAGAGAUGAAUGGAAAAAAAAGCCACCAAAGUUUUUGCAAUCUAUCCAUCUGACAAUGGUCUAAUAUCCAGAAUCUACAAGGAACUUAAACAAUUUUACAAGACAAAAAAAAACCAUCAAAAAGUGGGCAAAGGAUAUGAACAGACACUUCCCAAAAGAAGACAUUUAUGAAGCCAACAAACAUAUGAAAAAAAACUCAUCAUCACUGGUCAUUAGAGAAAUGCAAAUCAAAACCACAAUGAGAUACCACCUCACACCAGUUAGAAUGGAGAUCAUUAAAAUGUCUGGAAACAACAAAUGCUGGUGAGGAUGAGAAGAAAUAGGGACGCUUUUACACUGUUGGUGGGAGUGUAAAUUAGCUCAACCAUUGUGGAAGACAGUGUGGCGAUUCCUUAAGGAUGUAGAACCAGAAAUACCAUUUGACCCAGCAAUCCCAUUACUGGGUAUAUACCAAAAGGAUUAUAAAUCAUUCUAUAUAAAGACACACGCACACGUAUGUUUAUUCCAGCACAAUUUACAAUAGCAAAGACUUGGAACCCAUCAAUGAUAGACUGGAUACAGGAAAUGUGGCACAUAUACACCAUGGAAUACUAUGCAGCCAUAAAAAGGAAUGAGUUCAUGUCCUUUUUAGGGACAUGGAUGAAGCUGGAAACCAUCAUUCUCAGCAAACUAACACAGAAACAGAAAACCAAACACUGCAUGUUCUCAUUCAUAAGUGGGAAUUGAAAAGGAGAACACAUGAACACAGGG